CCUACGGAGAGCAGCAGUGGGGAAUAUUGGACAAUGGGCGAAAGCCUGAUCCAGCCAUGCCGCGUGUGUGAAGAAGGCCUUCGGGUUGUAAAGCACUUUCAGUGGGGAAGAAAGCCUUGGGGCUAAUACCCUCGAGGAAGGACAUCACCCACAGAAGAAGCACCGGCUAACUCCGUGCCAGCAGCCGCGGUAAUACGGAGGGUGCGAGCGUUAAUCGGAAUUACUGGGCGUAAAGCGCGCGUAGGCGGUCUGAUAAGCCGGUUGUGAAAGCCCCGGGCUCAACCUGGGAACGGCAUCCGGAACUGUCAGGCUAGAGUGCAGGAGAGGAAGGUAGAAUUCCCGGUGUAGCGGUGAAAUGCGUAGAGAUCGGGAGGAAUACCAGUGGCGAAGGCGGCCUUCUGGACUGACACUGACGCUGAGGUGCGAAAGCGUGGGUAGCAAACAGGAUUAGAUACCCCAGUAGUC
rnacentral:rRNA from 1 species